rnacentral:rRNA from 1 species
GUAAGGAAUAUUGGACAAUGGACGCAAGUCUGAUCCAGCCAUGCCGCGUGAAGGAUUAAGGUCCUCUGGAUUGUAAACUUCUUUUAUAAGGGACGAAAAAAGGCUUUUCUAAGUCGUCUGACGGUACCUUAUGAAUAAGCACCGGCUAACUCCGUGCCAGCAGCCGCGGUAAUACGGAGGGUGCAAGCGUUAUCCGGAUUCACGGGGUUUAAAGGGUGCGUAGGCGGGCAGGUAAGUCAGUGGUGAAAUCCUAGAGCUUAACUCUAGAACUGCCAUUGAUACUAUCUGUCUUGAAUAUUGUGGAGGUAAGCGGAAUAUGUCAUGUAGCGGUGAAAUGCUUAGAUAUGACAUAGAACACCUAUUGCGAAGGCAGCUUACUACGCAUAUAUUGACGCUGAGGCACGAAAGCGUGGGGAUCAAACAGGAUUAGAUACCCGUGUAGUCC